UUGGACAAAGCUCUAUUUGAAGCAUCUAACUGUUAAUUAGAAAGGAGGUAUAUUUACCUGUUCAAU
rnacentral:tRNA from 1 species